GCAGCCACUUCCGGCAGGGGGCGAGGCCGCCAGGCUUGUUAGCAUCCGGCGGGCCCAGGCGGCCGCGGCGCCCCCUGCCGGCCGCGGAGGGCGCGCCUUGGAGGGAGAGGACUUUAGGUGACGCCGCCAGGAGGCGAAAUUUCACCUGCCAGCAGCUCUGGAGGUCAAAAGAAAUGAGACUGCUGGGCUAAGAUCAAGGUGUCAGCAGGGCUGUAUUCCUUCCCAAGGCUCCAGGGGAGAAUCUGUUCACUUGCCUUUCCCAGCUUCUAGAGGUUGCCUACAUUCCUUGGCUUGCGGACCCUUCCUCCAUCUCCAGAAUCAGUAACGAAAGAUCCAAAGCCAUAUCCUGGCUGAGUUGGCUGAGUUGAGCAGGACACUGACAAGGAGGCUGCUGAGCCUGCAACUCGACUGUUCUGUUUGAGGAGCUCUGUGCUUUAUCAUAGAAAUGGAUCUGGUGAGUGCAGAGCCCAGGGAAUCUACGGAAGCAUUUGCACUGUGGUAUUUCAGCGUCGUCAGUGCUCAAUCUUCAUAACCCUAAAAAACUUACUGAGAUUGGAAAAAUAACUUUCCUACUAGGUGGGGUGUUGCUUUGUCUUGUGAUCGCAGCUCACGGCAGCCUUGGACUCGUGGGCACGAGCAAUCCUCCCACUUCAGCCUCCCAAGUAGCUGGGACCACAGGUACAUGCCACUGCACCUGGCCUAGUAUUCUCUAUCAAAUACUUAUUCAACAGUUAAAAUCUAUAUAGACCUUUGAGAUAGGAUAAUAAAAUAUUAUAGCUUGUAAUAAUUUUUU
rnacentral:lncRNA from 1 species